UUUUUCUGAUGACAAACCAAUAGACAAGCAUAUACCUGAAUUCACGUGUGUUGCUAACAUUUUUGACUGAAC
ensembl:snoRNA snoRNA:U27:54Eb snoRNA:U27:54Eb